AGAAUCAACGCUGGCGGCGUGCCUAACACAUGCAAGUCGAACGCGAAAGGGACUUCGGUCCUGAGUAGAGUGGCGAACGGGUGAGUAACACGUGGGUGACCUACCUUCGAAUGGGGGAUAACGUCCCGAAAGGGACGCUAAUACCGCAUAACAUCCUGUCCUUGAACGGAUGGUGAUCAAAGCCGGGGAUCGCAAGACCUGGCGUUUGAAGAGGGGCCCGCGUCCGAUUAGCUAGUUGGUGAGGUAACGGCUCACCAAGGCGACGAUC
rnacentral:rRNA from 1 species